rnacentral:tRNA from 1 species
GAACUUGCUCCUGUUGAAAGGAAUCCUAGCUGAUAAUUAGGUUGAGUAAGGGUUAGACUCCCUUCAAGUUUU